GUCAUUGGUCAUCACAUUUCAUUUUCAUAACAUAACCGAUAACCUAAAAAUUUAGUAAAAAAGUAAAAAUUUUGAUUGGAAAAAAAUGCAUCGAUAAGGGGGUGUGGGAAAUGGAAAUUAGUGGCUUUUUUGCUGUACUGUCUGCUAGUUUUUGCUCUGGGCACUGGCUAUAUCUCUUGUUUAAACAAUUUUAAUCAGCUGAAAGUGGCCUACAAAAAAAAACCAAGAAGGAAAUGUAUAGCCUUGUGGCUAUGAAAGGCAAAAGAGAGAUAUAAAAAGUGUAUUGGCUAGUUGGAAGAAAGUCCACAUUGUCCAUGCAUAAUAAGUUAUUACAUUAUCAACAAAUAUCAAGAAGAUAGCAGGGUCACGAGCAUCAACUUCAUGAGUUCAAGAAUAUCGAGGAAAUCCAGCUCCUCGAUACUACUGGGCAAACUAGAAGAUUGAAGAGGACAAAUCCUUUUGAACUAGUUUGAGUGAUAGGUGAUAGUGAAAAACGGAGCAUAGUGCUUGUGUGCUGUGCCUGUCUAUGUUAGAAUAGUGCACGAUCUUGUUAGAUUAGAUAAGAGACGCUAUGGGGUAAGCUCUUCAUUUUAAGAAACAGUAGUAAUUUAGGCUAAAUUAAAAUUGCUCAUUGGUCAGUUAUGACCAGAUUGUUUUUUUAUGUUUGGCAAAAAGGACUUAAGUCAGAAUUGCACAUUGAUAAUGUUUUGAUGAUUUCUGGACCAGAAAAAAACUGUUGUAGAUGUAAACUGUAUGUACAGUAGAAUCUACUACAGUACUGUAGAAAUCAUCAAAACAUUAUCGAUGUGCAAUUCUGACUUAAGCCCUUUUUCCCAAACAUCAGAGAAUUGUAAUGUACAAUAAUUCUCCUAUCUGCUUUUUCAUGAAUUUUGUAGGAGACGAAAAACCAUUUUUAGGAUCAUCUGCUUUCACAUGUUUUGUAGUAAAUAGAUAGUUGAAUUUACUACAAAACAUGUCAAAAAAUAUAUGAAAACAGGAGGUGACUAUAAAAAAAGUUUUUAGUCUCUCUUACAAAACUCAUGAAAAAACAAAUCGGAGGUAUGUCACAUCAGUAACUAAGAAUGUCUAAAAAAUAUACUUUGAUGUCCCAAGAACCAAAUAUAACCUACAGUCCAUCUAAUUUACUUACUGUUGCACGUCAUUAUCUACGCCAGAGAUCUAAGUUGACAUAGUUGCCAAAGUAUAAAAAGAUCCUGAAUCCAUUUUAAAUCAAAAAUGUCACAUAAUUAUUGUAAACGUGGAUUAUACAACAAAACAAAUUAAUAUUCAAUGUAAAUAAGUAAAAACUUAAGAAAUAGAGAACAAGAAUUAAGUUAUAAUCUUUUAAGAUUUGCAGUGCAAGAGUUUUUGCACUGCAUUGUUAAUAAUUAAAAAACGGCUCCGAACUCUUGGCAAAAAGCCGGUAGGUUUCUUUGUAUAAGUAUGUCUACAAUAACAACUAAAAAAGUUGUCAGAUACCUCGAUUAUUCCAAGUCGUUAUAAAAUUAGGUGAAAUUUAUAUUUUUAUAGUAGAGGAUCUUUUUAUAGUAAAGUAAAUAAUAAAAACAGUAAAUAUAAUAAAUAAAACAGAUACUUAUAGUAAAGAAUAUAAACAAAUAUGAAGUGUCAUCACCGUAACUGUCAAAUAAAUGUUACCAAUUUAUUCUAAAAUGUCACCUUCGUUCGAUUACAGUUACAGUGUGAUCCGAACAAAUCUGCUUCAUAAAAACGCUUUAUAAUCCAUUUAUACAAAUUAAAUGAAACAUAUUAUUGUGUAUUUCUUUAGGUUAACAUUAAUAGAAAUCUUCAAAUAUUAUUUCUAUGCGUAUAUAAUAAAAUAUGUCUAGUGGCUGUAAUUCCAGUGUACUCGGCAAAGUGAUUCUAAAAAAGAACACACCUACCGCCUAAAUAUUUCGUGUUGGUAUCAUGCAACCUCACAGGCUACGACACGGAUGACGCGCAACAGUUAGUAAAUUAGACGAAGUAUGUAGAUAUAUACAGGGUGUAACAAAAAUACAGGUCAUAAAUUUAAUCACAUAUUCUGGGACCAAAAAUAGUUUGAUUGGACCUAACUUACCUUAGUACAAAUGUGCACACAAGAAAAGUUACAGCCCUUUGAAGUUAUAUAUAUAUAUAUAUAUAUAUAUAUAUAUAUAUAUAUAUAUAUAUAUAUAUAUAUAUAUAUAUAUAUAUAUAUAUAUAUAUAUAUAUAAUAGCACCAAGGGUCUUAGAGGCCCAUGGCUUGAAAAGUUUGUUUUUUUUCUUCAUUUUCACGUUUCUUUAUGUACUGAGAUCUUCUCUGGCUUGAUAUGUGAUUUUUCUCCAUUCCUUCCUGUUAUUCAUUUUUCUUUUCUGACCCUGUAGCACCAUUCUUUCCAAAUCUUUUUCGACCUCUUGCUUCCAUCUAUUUUUCGGCCUUCCUCUUCUCUUUCUUGAAGCUGUAGUGUAGUUUAGUACCAUUUUUGGAGUCCUCGUGUUUGGCAUCCUUUCAAUGUGACCUCGCCAUCUAAGUCUCUGUGCCUUUAUCAUUCAUUUGAAGUUACAAGAUGAAGUGAUUUUUUCCAAUAUAUCGAAAACUAUUAGAGAUUUUUUAUUGAAAAUGGACAUGUGGCAUUAUUAUGGCAGCA